AGAGUUUGAUCAUGGCUCAGAACGAACGCUGGCGGCAGGCUUAACACAUGCAAGUCGCAGGAGAAGGGGGCUUCGGCUCCUGGGCACUGGCGGACGGGUGAGUAACGCGUGGGAACCUACCUCGAGGUGGGGGACAACCGCUGGAAACGGCGGCUAAUACCGCAUACGCCCUUUUGGGGAAAGCUUCGGCGCCCUGAGAUGGUCCCGCGUCGGAUUAGCUAGUUGGUGGGGUAACGGCCUACCAAGGCGACGAUCCGUAGCUGGUCUGAGAGGAUGACCAGCCACACUGGAACUGAGACACGGUCCAGACUCCUACGGGAGGCAGCAGUGGGGAAUAUUGGACAAUGGGGGCAACCCCGAUCCAGCCAUGCCGCGUGGGUGAAGAAGGCCUUAGGGUUGUAAAACCCUUUCAGCGGGGAAGAUGAUGACGGUACCCGCAGAAGAAGCCCCGGCUAACUCCGUGCCAGCAGCCGCGGUAAUACGGAGGGGGCUAGCGUUGUUCGGAAUUACUGGGCGUAAAGGGCGUGUAGGCGGUUUGCCAAGUCAGGCGUGAAAGCCCCGGGCUUAACCUGGGACUGCGUUUGAUACUGGCAGGCUAGAGGUUGGAAGAGGAGAGUGGAAUUCCCAGUGUAGAGGUGAAAUUCGUAGAUAUUGGGAAGAACACCAGUGGCGAAGGCGGCUCUCUGGUCCACACCUGAGCUGAGGCGCGAAAGCGUGGGGAGCAAACAGGAUUAGAUACCCUAGUAGUCC
rnacentral:rRNA from 1 species